rnacentral:rRNA from 1 species
CGUGGAGACAGGUGGUGCAUGGCUGUCGUCAGCUCGUGUCGUGAGAUGUUGGGUUAAGUCCCGCAACGAGCGCAACCCUCACCCCUAGUUGCCACCGGGUAAAGCCGAGCACUCGAGGGGAACUGCCAGCGUCAAGCUGGAGGAAGGCGGGGAUGACGUCAAGUCAUCAUGCCCCUUACCCCCUGGGCUACACACGUGCUACAAUGGCCGGUACAAAGGGACGCGAGACUGCAAGGUGGAGCUAAUCCCAAAAAACUGGUCUAAGUUCAGAUUGCAGUCUGCAACUCGACUGCAUGAAGGAGGAAUCGCUAGUAAUCGCGCAUCAGCACGGCGCGGUGAAUACGUUCCCGGGCCUUGUACACACCCCCCGUCACACCACGAAAGCUGUCUGUACUCGAAGUCGCUGAG